rnacentral:rRNA from 1 species
GAUCAUGGCUCAGAGUGAACGCUGGCGGCGUGCCUAAUACAUGCAAGUCGAACGUGAAAGCCUUCGGGUGAGUAAAGUGGCGCACGGGUGAGUAAUAGAUGAGAACAUGCCCUGAGGUGGGGAAUAACUGUUGGAAACGACAGCUAAUACCGCAUGGUAUCGUAAGAUUAAAGGUGGCCUCUGCAUAUGCUACCGCCACAGGAUUGGCUCAUCUCCCAUUAGCUAGUUGGUAGGGUAAUGGCCUACCAAGGCAACGAUGGGUAACUGGUCUGAGAGGAUGAUCAGUCACACUGGAACUGAGACACGGUCCAGACUCCUACGGGAGGCAGCAGUAGGGAAUAUUGCACAAUGGGGGAAACCCUGAUGCAGCAACGCCGCGUGAGUGAAGAAGGCCCUUGGGUUGUAAAGCUCUUUAGCCUGGAAAGAAGCCGUCGUAGGUGAACAAUCUGCGGGGGUGACGGUACCAGGAGAAUAAGCACCGGCUAAUUUCGUG